AAAAAUAACCCCAGCACAGAACGAGUGACAGAUCAACAGGAUACUACGAAUUAUAUGAAUUAACACCUUUGCAUGGAAAUUGUACCUAUUUUUAGUGCAUUUUAAUGCGAUUUAAUAAUGCCGUCACGCUAGCUGUUUCUCGUAUUCAGUUAAAGUUUGAACUUGAAAAUAUUCAUACAACAAAGAAGGUUAGAAGGCUUUAUUCGUCCACAAGUAUUAAUAAAAAUACUUCACCAUUUUUCUUAUUGUGCAUUCAUCAUAUUUUUGGUAAAGCUAUGGCUCAACGACGAUUAAUUGUCGUUCUUGCAAUAACUGCAGUAUUAUUAGUCUCUCAAUGUGUCUCCGUUCGGGUCAGAUUUUGCUCAGGCAUUGACCUGAGUGGGACUUGUGCCACGAAAAAUGUCGAAAUAGGCAUGUUUCGUACCAAAUGUGAGGAUUUCCCUUGGAGAUUUCGCUGGAUCUUUACUGCUCGUUCGGUGAAAGUCGAAGGCAGUUUUUUCACCGGAUGCCACUCCGUUUGCAGACUACACAAGAGCGACAGUUGCAGCUGCUGGUUUGGAAAUUGUCCCACAUUAGACUUUGCUUGUGGUAUUAAAAACCUGGAAGAAAGUCAUGGAUGGGAGGGUGUCACUUGUGUAUAAAUUAGUUGGUCAGGCGUAAACUUUUAUCGAGUGAAAACUUAUUGGACGUAAAUAAAUGUGAAUGUAAAUAAUUAAUGAGAAUACAUUUUUA